AUGAGGCAACUGCAGUUCAAAUUUGACCCGCUUCCAGCUGAAUGGGCGGGAAUUUGUCUUUUUCACGAGUGGUUGAUCAAAACUUUUGACACCCAACCAUUUGGGACGUUGUGGCUCAUGGGGGUCGCGGGAUCCAUCGCCUACAACUGGUCCAGGCCCGGCAUGAAGACCAGCGUCAAGCUCAUCCACGACAGCAUGCAAUGGUUUGCAGUACUUGAUCAUGGCCUGAUGGAACCUACAUGUCGUUACUACAAUAGCUAG
rnacentral:rRNA from 1 species